rnacentral:rRNA from 1 species
CCUACGGGAGGCUGCAGUGGGGAAUAUUGCACAAUGGGGGAAACCCUGAUGCAGCGACGCCGCGUGAGUGAAGAAGUAAUUCGUUACGUAAAGCUCUAUCAGCAGGGAGGAAAUACUGACCUUACGGUCAGCAGACGGUACCUGCGGAAGAAGACCCGGCUAACUACGUGCCAGCAGCCGCGGUAAUACGUAGGGGGCAAGCGUUAUCCGGAUUUACUGGGUGUAAAGGGAGCGUAGACGGUGCGCCAAGUCUGGCGUGAAAUGCCGCAGCUGAACUGCGGAACUGCUUUGGAAACUGGCGAACUAGAGGGCGGGAGGGGUAAGGGGAAUU